UACGUAGGGUGCAAGCGUUGUCCGGAAUUAUUGGGCGUAAAGAGCUCGUAGGCGGUUUGUCGCGUCGCUGUGAAAACCUGGGGCUCAACCCCGGGCCUGCAGCCGAUACGGGCAAACUAGAAUUCGGUAGGGGAGACUGGAAUUCCUGGUGUAGCGGUGAAAUGCGCAGAUAUCAGGAAGAACACCAAUGGCGAAAGCAGCUCUCUGGGACGGUACUGACGCUGAGACGCGAAAGCGUGGGGAGCGAACAGG
rnacentral:rRNA from 1 species